rnacentral:lncRNA from 1 species
UCUCCAUUUCUCUCUCAAAAUUCUUCAUCUUUCACUCAUUUUCUUGUUAAAAUCAAUCAUCCAAAUCAUUAUUCAUCCAUUACUCCUUCAAUUUUCGUUCUCAAAACUUCAUUUCAUCAACUCUCCACAUAAAACCCAAAAUCAAAAACCUAACUACCCGUUUCUCUCUCUAUAUUUUCAAGCUUCCUUUAGCCCAUUUUUUAUCCAAUCUACAUCAUCUAUUAGCUUCAUUCAUCUCUAAGAUCAAUUUUCUUGGCUCAAACAAAUCCAUUUCACUCAAUUUUUGUAAACCCGAAAUUGAAUCUUUAAGCUUGUUUUUGUUCCAACAAUGGUGGAUGGUAAUAUAUCAUGAGCAAACAAGUUGCCAAGAGAUGUAAGGACAAUUAUGGAGAUAAUACGGAGUUCAUAUCAACACCAUCCAUUAUCUUAAAUCUUCUCUUGGAUAAAUAUAAUCGGUUUAAAAUAAUCCAUUUCACUCAUUAUUUUACAAAACCGAAUUUCUGCUGUACGGCCAAGGCGGAUGUACGUGCUUAAGAAAAAGAGUAAUGAGCUCAAUGAAAUUGUGUUAAAAUUCACAAAUGGUCAAAAGAACUUAGAAAAAUUACUAAGCACUCAAAAAUGUGUGUUUGAUAAAGGAGGACUUGGGUAUAAGCCUUAUUUGAAACAAAAAUAUUAUAAGAAUUAUUUUGUUAAGGAUACCUCCACAAACAAUCAAGUUGUAUGUCAUUAUUGUAAUCAAAACGGUCACAUGAAGCUUGGUUGUCCUAUUAAAAGAAAAGUAUAUUAUGGAGUAAAAUGUGUUUGGGUUCCAAAAGGAACCAUUGCUAACACUCAAGGACCCAAGAAUAUUUGGGUACCAAAAUACACAACUUGAACAAUUUUUUGUAGGUACCACAAUCAAGGAAUGGUGGAGAAGUUCCUUGAUGAAAGCUUGUGAGGAUAAUCAUUUGAGCAUGAUCUAGGAGAAAAAGAUGAGGCAAGAUGAUUUAAUUGUUUUGGUAAUAAUUCUUGCCAUAUUAAUUUUGUUGAAUGAAUUAUGAUAAAUGAAUUUGCGAAAAUAUGCUUGUAUGUUUACAUGAUUGAAUUAUCAUUGUGUUUAACAUUGAGUGUUUUAUCAUGAUGCAAGGUUAUAUAUAAAUGAUGAUAGUUUAUCAACUCAUCAUGAUGGAUUUGUUUGAUGUUAAUGUUUAUGAAGUGUUUAAGCAUGAUAGUUAAGUGGUGUGUUUGAUUUAUUAACUUUUGAAUGCUUAUAUGUUUAAUUAUUGUGAAAAUCCCAAGUUUGCACAAGCUGUAAUGAAUUGGUCAUAACUCCUUCUAGAGAACUCCAAAUCCAGCUCUGUAAAAUUUAUUGGAAAGCUAACUUAAUUAUCUUUCCAACGGUAUAUAGCGUGCAUGUUAAUUCUGGUUCAAUCAAUACAGUUUUUAUUUUGAAGUUGACCUUUCUGCAUUUUCUUAAGUUUUGACUGCUUAGAUGCUUCAUGAUUGUAUGCUUGUUGGAUGGAUUAUUUGUUUGAAUUAAUUAUCUUUUGGAUGUUUAAAAUCAUGAAUCAUGCGUUAAAUUGGCUCUUGAGAUAUUUCAGGAUCACAAAAUGAUCACGGAAUUGAUCGAAACAAGCUGAAAAGCAAGUAGAGUGCAGGUGGACAGCAACCAGGCGGCUAGCCGCUUGGAAAACUGUCCCAAACCCGAGAGCAAGCGGCUAGCCGCUUGGUCACUGGUUGGGAAAUUUUUUUUUGCUUGUUCUUCUUCCUUCGUGAUUUUUCUGCACAUGUUUCUCUUCUCUCACCAAAACCGUGAACAUCCUCUCCAUUUUCACCUCCAUUUUCUUCCUUUUUCAUCCAUUUUCAUGCCCAAAUCAACCAUUCAAACUAAUACCCAUGCAUUUCAUCUUCAUUAAACACUUCUCCAUCAUGAUUUCUUCACUUAUUUUUCAUCAUUUCAUCAUCAUCUCUCACGAGUGAACAGUACCUCACCAUUUCUCUCUCAAAAUUCAUCUUUCACUCAUUUUCUUGUUAAAAUCAAUCAUCCAAAUCAUUAUUCAUCCAUUACUCCUUCAAUUUUCGUUCUCAACACUUCAUUUCAUCAACUCUCCACAUAAAAUCCAAACUCAAAAACCUAACUCUACCCGUUUCUCUCUCUACAUUUUCAAGCUUCCUUUAGCCCAUUUUUGAUCCAAUAGACAUCAUAUAUUAGCUUCAUUCAUCUCUAGCAUCGAUUUUCUUGGCUCGAACAAAUCCAUUUCACUCAAUUUUUGUAAAUCCGAAAUUGGAUCUUUAAGCUUAUUUUUUGUUCCAACAAUGGUGGAUAAGUUGCCAAGAGAUGUAAGGACAAUUAUGGAGAUAAUACGGAGUACAUGUCAACCCACUUUCAGCAUCUACCUCUUCGGAAACGGUUUAUUUUGUUGAUCUUUGUAAUUUGAAGAAUUUAAAAAAAAUUGUGACAAAUCUCUUAGUUAUUUUUUUUUUAAUUGCUAUGUUUUUUUUUAAUAUUUUAGUUAUUAAGGAGCAAUACUAUGAAAAUUUUUAUCCUCGCAAUAUAUAUAGCUUUGCAUAUUGUUUGAUUAAUUUAUGGCAGCAGUUAAGUGCUUCAACUAAAGCAAUAGAAGGCGUAAUGUUGGGUUGGUUAGGGUGGCAUCAAUCUGUGCUUCUAUGUAAAAUACAUCGUUGCCUAGACAACUGCCAACAAUCACUUUUUAUUUACACAGAAGCACUUGCUGCAAAGCUUUUCCAGUACUGCAAGUAUGCUUGGAUCCAAAAAUGACCCAUCUAAUGAGUUCUAAUUAUCAAUAAACAUUAAACAGGCUCCGGCAUAUAUUCCCUAAAUCGUAUAUUAUUUAAUAUUUUAAUCAAGAUUAUAUUUGUACUAGAAGAUUAUGGGAGACAAAGAGAUCCUUGGAUUAGAAGAAAACGAAAUAAUAAUUAACAAACAAAUGCGUUUUGGAAAAAGUGAAUUGUAUAUAUCAUGUCGUCAAGUGUUUCAAAUUUUCAGUUUCAACUAUUUUAAUCACUUUUAUAAUUGAUUAAUCUUGAAUAUUUAAAAAUGAUCAAUAUUGUAUUAUAUAUAUGAGCAGCAGUCAGCACAUGCACUUUCAAUUUUGCAUGCAUGCCAUUAGCAAAAAAAAUGAAGGCAACUUGGGACUGCUGUACCGUACAUCCGCCUUGGCCGUACAGCAGAUGAAUUAUGAUAAAUGAAUUUGCGAAAAUAUGCUUGUAUGUUUACAUGAUUGAAUUAUCAUUGUGUUUAACAUUGAGUGUUUUAUCAUGAUGCAAGGUUAUAUAUAAAUGAUGAUAGUUUAUCAACUCAUCAUGAUGGAUUUGUUUGAUGUUAAUGUUUAUGAAGUGUUUAAGCAUGAUAGUUAAGUGGUGUGUUUGAUUUAUUAACUUUUGAAUGCUUAUAUGUUUAAUUAUUGUGUAAAUCCCAAGUUUGCACAAGCUGUAAUGAAUUGGUCAUAACUCCUUCUAGAGAACUCCAAAUCCAUCUCUGUAAAAUUUAUUGGAAAGCUAACUUAAUUAUCUUUCCAACGGUAUAUAGCUUGCAUGUUAAUUCUGGCUCAAUCAAUACAGUUUUUAUUUCGAAGUUGACCUUUCUGCAUUUUCUUAAGUUUUGAAUGCUUAUAUGCUUCAUGAUUGUAUGCUUGAUGGAUGGAUUAUUUGUUUGAAUUAAUUAUCUUUUGGAUGUUUAAAAUCAUGAAUUGUGCAUUAAAUUGGCUCUUGAGAUGUUUCGGGAUCACAAAAUGAUCACGGAAUUGAUAGAAACAAGCCGGAAAGCAAGUAGAGUGCAGGUGGACAGCAACCAGGCGGCUAGCCGCUUGGAAAACUGUCCCAAACCCGAGAGCAAGCGGCUAGCCGCUUGGUCACUGGUUGGGAAAUUUUUUUUUGCUUGUUCUUCUUCCUUCGUGAUUUUUCUGCACAUGUUUCUCUUCUCUCACCAAAACCGUGAACAUCCUCUCCAUUUUCACCUCCAUUUUCUUCCUUUUUCAUCCAUUUUCAUGCCCAAAUCAACCAUUCAAACUAAUACCCAUGCAUUUCAUCUUCAUUAAACACUUCUCCAUCAUGAUUUCUUCACUUAUUUUUCAUCAUUUCAUCAUCAUCUCUCACGAGUGAACAGUACCUCACCAUUUCUCUCUCAAAAUUCAUCUUUCACUCAUUUUCUUGUUAAAAUCAAUCAUCCAAAUCAUUAUUCAUCCAUUACUCCUUCAAUUUUCGUUCUCAACACUUCAUUUCAUCAACUCUCCACAUAAAAUCCAAACUCAAAAACCUAACUCUACCCGUUUCUCUCUCUACAUUUUCAAGCUUCCUUUAGCCCAUUUUUGAUCCAAUAGACAUCAUAUAUUAGCUUCAUUCAUCUCUAGCAUCGAUUUUCUUGGCUCGAACAAAUCCAUUUCACUCAAUUUUUGUAAAUCCGAAAUUGGAUCUUUAAGCUUAUUUUUUGUUCCAACAAUGGUGGAUAAGUUGCCAAGAGAUGUAAGGACAAUUAUGGAGAUAAUACGGAGUACAUGUCAACCCACUUUCAGCAUCUACCUCUUCGGAAACGGUUUAUUUUGUUGAUCUUUGUAAUUUGAAGAAUUUAAAAAAAAUUGUGACAAAUCUCUUAGUUAUUUUUUUUUUAAUUGCUAUGUUUUUUUUUAAUAUUUUAGUUAUUAAGGAGCAAUACUAUGAAAAUUUUUAUCCUCGCAUAUAAUUGUUACAAGUGUUGGGGGAAUUCAUAUUGAAUUUGAUGAUUGAUGAUUAUAUAUGUGUUGCUUGAUGAAUUAAUGGAGUUGUUGGUUUGUUAUAAUUGUUUAAGCUUAUAUGGAAGUGUUUUUAAUCAUGUUGUGUAUUUGAGGAUUUGAGCAUUUUAAGGGG